UUAGCUAUAGAUUUCCACCAGCACAGGCAGAGCCAGAGGCAGCCAAUCACCUCACUAAGGCUAACCACCAAACUCUUGGAGUUUCCUUGGAGAGUGUUCAUUGUUCAUCAUGGAACCUGCUAUGUUGUGUUAAGCAGAUGACACAAGCAUGGCUGGCCACAUCAGAAACAACAAGACUGAAUCCAUGCAGUGUAAUGGUGUUGCUGCCAGGACUGUGGACCCCAAGGCUCUGCUCAACAUUGCGAGCAUCUGCUUAAUGUGUCUACAGAGCAAGAAGCCC